rnacentral:misc_RNA from 1 species
GAUGAAGAACGUAGCGAAAUGCGAUACUUGGUGUGAAUUGCAGAAUCCCGUGAACCAUCGAGUCUUUGAACGCAAGUUGCGCCCGAAGCCAUUAGGCCGAGGGCACGCCUGCCUGGGCGUCACACGUCGUUGCCCCCCCAUCUACUCCUUCGGGAUUGCGGGGGGCGGAUGAUGGCCUCCCGUGCGCCUCGCCGCGCGGUUGACAUAAAUGCCAAGUCCUCGGCGACGCACGCCACGACAAUCGGUGGUUGCGAAACCUCGGUUGCCCGUCGUGUGCGGUCGUCGCGCAUCGAGGGCUCGAAAAAAUUGCCGGGUUCCGGCUCGGCUUUCAACGCGACCCCAGGUCAGGCGGGGUUACCCGCUGAAUUUAAGCAUAUCAUAAGCGGAGGA